rnacentral:rRNA from 1 species
AACGAACGCUGGCGGCAGGCUUAACACAUGCAAGUCGAGCGCCCCGCAAGGGGAGCGGCGCACGGGAGAAUAACACGUGGGAACCUACCUUUUAGUUCGGAACAACACCGGGAAACUGGUGCUAAUACCGGAUACGUCCUUCGGGAGAAAGAUUUAUCGCUAAAAGAUGGGCCUGCGUUGGAUUAGCUAGUUGGUGAGGUAAUGGCUCACCAAGGCGACGAUCCAUAGCUGGUCUAAGAGGAUGAUCAGCCUCACUGGGACUGAGACACGGCCCAGAUUCCUACGGGAGGCAGCAGUGGGGAAUAUUGGACAAUGGGGGCAACCCUGAUCCAGCCAUGCCGCGUGGAUGUUAAGGCCUUCGGGUUGUAAAGUCCUUUUGGCGGGGACGAUGAUGACGGUACCCGCAGAAUAAGAUCCGGCAAACUUCGUGCCAGCCGCCGCUGUAA